AAAUUAAAUAUUAAUUGUUAAGGUUGUUUAUUUUUAUUUUAAUUAAAGUAAUUUUAUUAAGUAGUAGAUUUGAGUAUAUUUUAUAGAAAUAAUAUUAAUUAUUUAUAGUGUAUAGUAUCGUGGGAGAAUUAUGAAAUAUAUGAAAAUGGAUUUGUGGUAAAGUAGAUUAUUAGUUGUACCUUGUGUAUCAGGGUUUAUCAAUAAUAUUAUAUUGAAUUAUAAUUCUCGAGUUGAAAAGAGCUAAUGUGAUAUGUGAGUUAAUGUAAUAUAUUUAUUGAUAAUGUUGUAUUAGUAAUGAAACGUUAAUCGUUUUUUAAGAUAUCUAGUUUUCUAAGAAAUGAAUUUAAUUCAGGUUAGAUUAUGUAAUUGCUUGAGUUAUUAGGUAAAUUAUAUAUUUUAGAAAAUAAUCUGAGGGAUAAGCUUUGGAUUGGAAAUUAUAAUUUAUGAAAGCAUAUUUAAAAUUGUAGGCUUUUAAUUAGCUAACUGUUUGAUAAUGUUAUAAAUUAUUUUGUAUUAGUAUGAUUUUAUAAAGAAUUUAAUUUGUGUAUUAGAAUGAUUUGAAUAAUUAACUAUUAUUUGAAAUAAUGAUAAAAUUAGUAUAAUUGAAUGUAGAAAUAUUUAUGGUUUUGUAAUUUACGUUAAGGAAUUAGGCAAAUAUUAAUAUUCGCCUGUUUAACAAAAACAUGUCUUUUAGUGUAAUAUUUAAAGUCGGGCCUGCCCACUGAUUAUUGAAGGGCCGCGGUAUUUUGACCGUGCAAAGGUAGCAUAAUCAUUAGUUUUUUAAUUGAAGGCUAGAAUGAAUGGUUUGACGAAAUAUUAGCUGUCUCAAUGUGAGAAAUGGAAUUUAACUUUUGAGUCAAAAGGCUUAAAUGAAAGUGGAGGACGAGAAGACCCUAUAGAGCUUUAUAUAUUAUGUAUUGGCUUAUUGUAGAAUAUUUAGAGUAUUUAUAAAAAUAUAUUGUGUUGGGGUGACAUAAAGAUUUAAUUAACUCUUUAUGAAAGUUACAUUGAUUUAUGAAUAAUUGAUCCAUUAGUAUUGAUUGUAAGAUAAAGUUACCUUAGGGAUAACAGCGUAAUUUUUUUUAAGAGUUCUUAUCAACAAAAAAGAUUGCGACCUCGAUGUUGGAUUAAGGAAUAUGAUUAGGUGUAGAAGUUUAAUUAAUAGGUCUGUUCGACCUUUAAAUCCUUACAUGAUCUGAGUUCAAACCGGUGUAGCCAGGUUGGUUUCUAUCCUCAUUUUGUUAAGUAUAUUUUAGUACGAAAGGACCAAAUAUUUAAAAUAAUUUUGUGUGUAUUGACUAUUAAUA
rnacentral:rRNA from 1 species